AUUGAACGCUAGCGGGAUGCCUUACACAUGCAAGUCGAACGAGUGGCGGACGGGUGAGUAAUGUAUGGGAAACUGCCCGAUGGCGGGGGAUAACUACUGGAAACGGUGGCUAAUACCGCAUACCAUCAGAUGUGCCCAGAUGGGAUUAGCUGGUUGGUGGGGUAACGGCUCACCAAGGCGACGAUCCCUAGCUGGUCUGAGAGGAUGACCAGCCACACUGGAACUGAGACACGGUCCAGACUCCUACGGGAGGCAGCAGUGGGGAAUAUUGCACAAUGGGCGAAAGCCUGAUGCAGCCAUGCCGCGUGUAUGAAGAAGGCCUUCGGGUUGUAAAGUACUUUCAGCGGGGAGGCGUUAUCCGCAGAAGAAGCACCGGCUAACUCCGUGCCAGCAGCCGCGGUAAUUC
rnacentral:rRNA from 1 species